CUACCUUCUUUAGGAAUAAAAUGAGAGGCAGGUCUGCCUGACUGCAGUUCCCAGCUUGACUUUGCCCUUUGGCUUAGUGAUUGUGGGUCCAAGAUUUAUUUUCCUUUCACAACCCCAAGGCUUGGUACAAAUCCCCACCACUUGUGUUGAUCAGAAACCAGCAAACAUGGGAACCAGGAUGAGAAGAGGAAGGCAGGCUGGGCCGAUGGUGUCCGUGGGUCUGUCUGAUACCAGGAUCAGGGAGGCUGCAGGGACAGGCCGGGGCUCCCAGGAGCAGUGAAGGGCUGGCACCCGGCACCACCCAGCUGAGUCACCUCCGUCCACACUCCAGAGCCCACUAGGCCAACAAGGAUGAGCUCAAGAGGAAACGCAAGGGGCUUCUGACUAAAGAUACACGCACCAGGAAUUCCUGCAUGCUUUGAUGGGUGUGCCUGAGAGUCAUUCUCCC
rnacentral:lncRNA from 10 species